GGGCCGGUAGCUCAGCGGUAGAGCAGUGGACUUUUAAUCCAUUGGUCGUGGGUUCGAAUCCCACCCGGCUCACCA
rnacentral:tRNA from 1 species